rnacentral:rRNA from 1 species
GACGAACGCUGGCGGCGUGCUUAACACAUGCAAGUCGAACGAAGUGGCGAACGGGAGAGUAACGCGUAAUCAACCUGCCCUUCAGAGGGGGACAAAAGUGGGAAACGACUGCUAACACCGCAUACUGAAGGAGGGGAUCGAGUGUGAUUAGCUAGUUGGAGGGGAAACGGCCCACCAAGGCGAUGAUCAGUAGCCGGUCUGAGAGGAUGAACGGCCACAUUGGGGCUGAGACACGGCCCAGACUCCUACGGGAGGCAGCAGUGGGGAAUCUUCCGCAAUGGACGAAAGUCUGACGGAGCAACGCCGCGUGAGUGAUGACGGCUUUCGGGUUGUAAAGCUCUGUUAUUCGGGACGCGGUACCGGAAUAGAAAGCCACGGCUAACUACGUGCCAGCCGCCGCGGUAAUUC